UUCUCAAAUUCGAAUAUCUUUGUAAUAAGUCCGUACUACAAAAGAAUGCACAAAAACCUUUUUAAAUUUCAAUUUUACGCUUAAAAACGACACAAAUUCAAAACAAAUGUUGAAAUUAAAUCUUAAUAUCUAAAAUGAGUGAAAUUUCCUAGCAUGUACUUGGUGCAAAGUACAAAACCACGUUAUUUUUUACGGUUGGCAAUAACCUCAAAAAUCAAAAAAUUGCUUGUCACUUUCUCUUCCAAAAAACAUCAAAUAAAUUGCAGCAAACCAGCAAGAUUGCAAUCAAAUCUUCAAAUUACUAUAUCUAAAGACUAUUUAAUGAAUAAAGAGCAACCAAGACUAAACAAAAAGCUGGCGCUGAUGCCUUACUAAAUUAAAUCAUGGAAAGGACCGACCUCAGAAUUUAAACGUUCCUCAGAUGCAGCGGGGUGACAGGCUGCUUUCCCCGGUGAAGCUUGAUGCUGAGCGGUGACGUAGAGCUCAGGGGCCGCGCACGUGGUACCAAAAUGACGUGGCCGAGGCAGAUGGCGUGCUUAAAUUCCUCGCUCCAGGAGGUCUCCAAAACUAAAUUGACUUCUAGGAUUUUGAAGCUUUUGAGAUAAAUUACUCAACGCAUGAAAUAAAUGAAUGAAUCAAUGAAUGAAUAAAUCCCGGCUCCUGAAAACCGAGAAAAGGUUAUAUUAGCCUACGCCCUUUAUGGCCGCUAGAAAAGAGAUGAAACCAUUUGAAAUUUGGCUCACCGCACUGGUAGCUGCUAAGCCUUCUGGCGGAGCGCUCCCUUCCCUCGAGCAGGAGUCUCUCUGCAAAGAACCAAAUUUUGGUUAAGAACAAACCCACAACGUUUCGCGCCAUUGUGGAGUCGAUCACCACGAAAUUUAAUUUCUACUCACUCAGUGGAGCUUCCGAAGGACUCAAGCCGUUUCCAUCUUUCAGACCACCAUGCCGAAAGUGUGGCCUUCCCACAAAUUGGGCUCUUGCGAGCGAGUGUCCCCAGAGGGGGUCCCGAAUCAAAUGUGCAUAUCAUUCUCGAAUGAUCUCCAAUAUGGAGUCCCUGAGAGCCCUAACAAAAGGUAAUAGGGUGGCAGUCCCUUGAAGACACAAAUCCCACGAAAAUUCUGUCUGAAUUAUUUAGACAAUAUCACUCCUGAGCCUAAGAAAUAUAUUUUUACCAUUUAA